GACGAACGCUGGCGGCGUGCUUAACACAUGCAAGUCGAACGGAAAGGCCCUGCUGUUGUGGGGUGCUCGAGUGGCGAACGGGUGAGUAACACGUGAGUAACCUGCCCUUGACUUUGGGAUAACUUCAGGAAACUGGGGCUAAUACCGGAUAGGAGCUCCUGCUGCAUGGUGGGGGUUGGAAAGUUUCGGCGGUUGGGGAUGGACUCGCGGCUUAUCAGCUUGUUGGUGGGGUAGUGGCUUACCAAGGCUUUGACGGGUAGCCGGCCUGAGAGGGUGACCGGCCCCAUUGGGACUGAGAUACGGCCCAGACUCAUACGGGAGGCAGCAGUGGGGAAUAUUGCACAAUGGGCGGAAGCAUGAUGCAGCAACGCCGCGUGCGGGAUGACGGCCUUCGGGUUGUAACCCGCUUUCGCCUGUGACGAAGAGUGAGUGACGGUAAUGGGUAAAGAAGCACCGGCUAACUACGUG
rnacentral:rRNA from 1 species